rnacentral:lncRNA from 1 species
GGGGAUUGACAUGUUAUUUUUAGUAAACUUAAGGGGCUCCUCACAAGUAUAAAUACCCCUAGAAAUUCACCCAUUUCAUGCAUCCCUCACUCACCAUCUCUUCUCUCUUUUCUCUUCCCAUUUUCCAUUUUCUUCAAAAAAGUUUGCAAGGCUUGAGAACAGCCCAAUUUGGCAUAUUAUGAUUUUCCAACUUGUUUGUCAUAGUAAGAAACGAAGAACAAAGGAAGAGCAAAGUGAAUUGUGUCUCGGAGAACCACUGGAAAC